rnacentral:rRNA from 1 species
AAUAGAUACCCGGGUAGUCCAUGCCAUAAACGAUGAAUACUUGAUGUUGGUGGUAUUGACCCCAUCAGUGUCGAAGCUAACGCGAUAAGUAUUCCGCCUGGGAAGUACGGCCGCAAGGUUAAAACUCAAAGAAAUUGACGGGGGCCCGCACAAGCGGUGGAGCAUGUGGUUUAAUUCGAUGCAACGCGAAGAACCUUACCUGGGUUUGAAAUGUAGUGGAAGUCUCGCAGAAAUGUGGACGCCUUCGGGCCGCUACACAGGUGCUGCAUGGCUGUCGUCAGCUCGUGUCGUGAGAUGUUGGGUUAAGUCCCGCAACGAGCGCAACCCUUAUGUUUAGUUGCCAGCAUUUAGUUGGGCACUCUAGACAGACUGCCGACGUUAAGUCGGAGGAAGGUGGGGAUGACGUCAAGUCCUCAUGGCCCUUAUAUCCAGGGCGACACACGUGCUACAAUGGUAGGUACAGAGGGAAGCAAACCCGGCAAGGUCAAGCAAAAUCCCAAAAAACCUAUCUAAAGUUCGGAUUGGAGUCUGCAACUCGACUCC